AUACAUCAAAACCCCCUCCAAAAAUCCCCAAAAGUCUCACCUUCACCUUGUCAUUGGAUAUUCAUCAAUCCUUUUGUCAACCAGAUUGCUGUCUCUCGGCCGUAGUAAUUACGUCCUAAAAUCUCCCAAAAACCCCCCAAAACCAGUCGAUUACAGAGAGAAAUCACAUCUACUAUCUGUUAUAAUAUUCGGUUUGAGCCCAUUGAUGAAGUGGCCUUUCAUGAAGGCUUUGGAGAUGUCUACUCCGAAGAAGAUAAAGAGAUCUUUGGACGACUUCGUAAUGAUGGAGGUUAUGGGUUUUGAUAUGGAAGAUGAUAGAGUGAUGGUUUUUUAUGAUGCGGUGGGUAAAGCAUGGAAGAUUUUGGGGAAUUUUGAUACUUUUGUUAACUGUUAUUUGUAUGAAGGUAAACGACGAUUUUUGGGAAUUUUAUUUCUAUUUAUUUAUUUAUAUUUUGUUACUGAAUUAUUGAAAGAAUCAGUAUCGUCAAAUAUUAUGGGUGUAAUAUUAUAUGUUUG
rnacentral:lncRNA from 1 species